AUACUUUACCUGGACGGGGUCAAUGAGCGAUCAUGAAGGCUCAUGGCCUAGGCUAGUGGCCUUCAUUGCACUUUGGUGGUGCAUUAGGCUAAGGUCUACCUAAUAGGUGGAGCCUACGUCAUAAUUUUGUGGCAGCGGGGGCUUGCGUUCGCGCAGCCCCUAU
rnacentral:snRNA from 1 species